GAUGAACGCUAGCGGCAGGCCUAACACAUGCAAGUCGAGGGGUAGAACACUUCGGUGUUUGAGACCGGCGCACGGGUGCGUAACGCGUAUGCAAUCUACCUUGUACAGGGGAAUAGCCCAGAGAAAUUUGGAUUAAUGCCCCAUAGUAUAUAACCUUCGCAUGUUGGUUAUAUUAAAGUUCCAACGGUACAAGAUGAGCAUGCGUCCCAUUAGUUAGUUGGUAAGGUAACGGCUUACCAAGACGAUGAUGGGUAGGGGUCCUGAGAGGGAGAUCCCCCACACUGGUACUGAGACACGGACCAGACUCCUACGGGAGGCAGCAGUGAGGAAUAUUGGUCAAUGGGCGCAAGCCUGAACCAGCCAUGCCGCGUGCAGGAAGACGGUCCUAUGGAUUGUAAACUGCUUUUAUACAGGAAGAAACCCUCCCACGUGUGGGAGAUUGAGGGUACCAUCAGAAUAAGCACCGGCUAACUCCGUGCCAGCCGCCGCGGUAACAC
rnacentral:rRNA from 1 species